UACGGGGGGAGCAAGCGUUGUUCGGAUUUACUGGGCGUAAAGGGCGCGUAGGCGGUCAGCACAAGUCAGUUGUGAAAUCUCCGGGCUUAACUCGGAAAGGUCAACUGAUACUGUGCGACUAGAGUGCGGAAGGGGCAACUGGAAUUCUCGGUGUAGCGGUGAAAUGCGCAGAUAUCAGGAGGAACACCGGUGGCGAAGGCAGCUCGCUGGGACGUUACUGACGCUGAGACGCGGAAGCGUGGGGAGCAAAAGGG
rnacentral:rRNA from 1 species